AGAAGUAUUUGGGGUAGAAGCAUUUGAAACAAAUUAGAAUUUUGUUAAUUUUUUUAAAUAUUUAUAUGUGGAUUCUUGUUGUGGAUCUUAUAUAAAGUUUCGAAAGUUCAUCGUCUGGUUGAAUCUCAAUUAUGCAGGGGACGCAAAGAGUAAGAGUAACGUUAUAAAUUUUAUCGAUGAACGAAGAAUGCGCUGGAAGAAUUCC